rnacentral:rRNA from 1 species
AAAUUGAAGAGUUUGAUCAUGGCUCAGAUUGAACGCUGGCGGCAGGCCUAACACAUGCAAGUCGAACGGUAACAGGAAGCAGCUUGCUGCUUUGCUGACGAGUGGCGGACGGGUGAGUAAUGUCUGGGAAACUGCCUGAUGGAGGGGGAUAACUACUGGAAACGGUGGCUAAUACCGCAUAACGUCGCAAGACCAAAGAGGGGGACCUUCGGGCCUCUUGCCAUCAGAUGUGCCCAGAUGGGAUUAGCUWGUUGGUGAGGUAACGGCUCACCAAGGCGACGAUCCCUAGCUGGUCUGAGAGGAUGACCAGCCACACUGGAACUGAGACACGGUCCAGACUCCUACGGGAGGCAGCAGUGGGGAAUAUUGCACAAUGGGCGCAAGCCUGAUGCAGCCAUGCCGCGUGUAUGAAGAAGGCCUUCGGGUUGUAAAGUACUUUCAGCGGGGAGGAAGGUGUUGUGGUUAAUAAC